UCACGAUUAAUCCGAAGAAAACACGUUUCAAUCCUGCAUCUAAGGGUUUCAGCCAAAUCGUCUCUCUCUAAGAAACCUAAUCGACCUCAUCUUCAACGUUACUUCACUUCAUCUUCCUUCCCGUAACUGUGAAUCAUCAAUCAUCAUGAUGAGAGUAUACGGAUCGCUAAGGUAAUCAAUUGUAUUGAAUUGCACCAGCAAUCGUUCUCUUCUCCUCUCUAACAAAAGCAUCCCCAUCAUGAAGAUAACUCACGGUGUUCAGAUCUAGGGUUCCGGCUCUUCCCUGUCUUCUCCGAACUCAGGUUUCUUAAAGCACCUCCAACUCUCAUCAGCUUUCAGAAAUUUCAAGAGAUUUGGUGAUGCUUUUCCUCUUCGGGUCUCGAAUUGCAACCCUGUAAAGACAAAUUACAGGAGAACAAUUGUACUGAGGAUAUUAAUAAGUGAUGAAGUGAUAUCUUGUGUGGGGAUUCAAUGAGAAUUUGGGGAUGUUUGGAUUUGGAUUUUCAACUCUUGCCCUGCUGUUUAUAACCCAAUGCCCAUAGCAAAUAAGGAUGAAGUCUGGCUUAUGCAGAUUGCUGGACAUAAGGACCUUCUAGAGGGUGAUCUUACUUAAAACAAAGAAUUAGAUUGCGAGAUUCGUCUAGCACAACCUUAAAUAUUUUUAAGCUUAUACCCUAAAGCGAGUGUGUGACCCAAACCAUCAAGGGAGGUAGCAUGACUCUUUGGGAGCUUUAGACGCUGGAGCGACUUUUGACAUGUAUCAGCAAGAGUUGAGAUGAAGUUAACUUGACUUGUUUUUACUUAACAGUGUAUCAGACUUGAAGGUGUUGUGAAAAAGUGCAGUUUCUUAUGCUCUCAACCACCAACUGAGCCUUGAUGAUUUAACUUAAAUAAUUGAUGAGGAAAAUAUAAAAGUCACAAUCGAAGCUUUCUUGAAUGCUCUUCAUGAAGUUAUUCCUGCUUUUGGUGCUUCAACAGACGAACUUGAACGUUGCAGUGGUAAGACUGCAAUGGCAGCAACUGUUGGUAUUGGUAGCGAUUUCUCCUAUGUGAAGAUUGUAAGUUCUUCUAUAUUUUAACUAUGGGACAAUUCCAUGAUACCCUUCAAUACUUAUCACAUACCUGUCUAACAAAAAGUUAUAAUAUCAAAUAUACUCAUUUUCGAAUUUGUGACAUUUAUGAUACUUGUGGCUGUGCUCGUUGAUGGAUGGAUGGACAUCAUCAUACUGGUUCUAAAAUUGGCAAGGUCGGAAACAGAAAUAAAUCAAGAGGAACCCUCAUGUUUAUUGUUUUGGUGAUCAAUCGGCUGGGAUAGAAUUUUCAAAUCAUCUCGUCUUUGUUUCAAGGCAUCUCUAGUGGAAUACGUUGAAUGUUUCCAACUUGCAUGAAAUGUCAUCCAACUGGUCGCUGUAUAUUCCCCUACGCGAGCCAGAACUCCCAGCUGAAGGCGACGCCGUUUGUUUUUGAGCACGCCUUCUUGAGGCAUUUCUUCCAUGCUCAAAGUUAUAUAAAAAAUAACCAUUCCAUUAAUUUAAACAAAGGUUAAGAAUACCUAAACUUGAAUGUUGAGAUUGUUCACACUAAGCCCUCGCCAAUGCAAGUUCUUCAGCGUAGCCCCAUUUUUGUUGUUUUCGUUUGGCGGUUUCAACUACUUUAUCCUCCUCGGUUUUUUU